rnacentral:rRNA from 1 species
UGACGGUACCUGACUAAGAAGCUCCGGCUAAAUACGUGCCAGCAGCCGCGGUAAUACGUAUGGAGCAAGCGUUAUCCGGAUUUACUGGGUGUAAAGGGUGUGUAGGCGGCGAAGUAAGCCAGAAGUGAAAGACCGGGGCUCAACUCCGGGGCUGCUUUUGAAACUGCAUUGCUGGAGUCCAGGAGAGGCAGGCGGAAUUCCUAGUGUAGCGGUGAAAUGCGUAGAUAUUAGGAAGAACACCGGUGGCGAAGGCGGCCUGCUGGACUGGUACUGACGCUGAGGCACGAAAGCGUGGGGAGCAAACAGGAUUAGAUACCCUG